rnacentral:rRNA from 1 species
GAUGAACGCUGGCGGCGUGCCUAAUACAUGCAAGUCGAGCGAACGGACGAGAAUCUUGCUUCUCUGAUGUUAGCGGCGGACGGGUGAGUAACACGUGGAUAACCUACCUAUAAGACUGGGAUAACUUCGGGAAACCGUAGCUAAUACCGGAUAAUAUUUUGAACAGCAUGGUUCAAAAGUGAAAGACGGUCUUGCUGUCACUUAUAGAUGGAUCCGCGCUGCAUUAGCUAGUUGGUAAGGUAACGGCUUACCAAGGCAACGAUGCAUAGCCGACCUGAGAGGGUGAUCGGCCACACUGGAACUGAGACACGGUCCAGACUCCUACGGGAGGCAGCAGUAGGGAAUCUUCCGCAAUGGGCGAAAGCCUGACGGAGCAACGCCGCGUGAGUGAUGAAGGUCUUCGGAUCGUAAAACUCUGUUAUUAGGGAAGAACAUAUGUGUAAGUAACUGUGCACAUCUUGACGGUACCUAAUCAGAAAGCCACGGCUAACUACGUG